rnacentral:rRNA from 1 species
GACGAAGGAUGCAAGCGUUAUCCGGAUUCAUUGGGUUUAAAGGGAGCGUAGGUGGUCUUAUAAGUCAGUGGUGAAAUCUCGCAGCUUAACUGCGAAACUGCCAUUGAUACUGUAGGACUUGAGUAUAGUUGCUGUGGGCGGAAUAUGACAUGUAGUAGUGAAAUACUUAGAGAUGUCAUAGAACACCGAUUGCGAAGGCAGCUCACAAAACUAUAACUGACACUGAGGCUCGAAAGUGCGGGGAUCAAACAGG